UGGGGAAUAUUGCACAAUGGGGGAAACCCUGAUGCAGCGACGCCGCGUGAGCGAAGAAGUUUUUCGAGUCGUAAAGCUCUGUCCUAUGAGAAGAUAAUGAUGGUAUCAUAGGAGGAAGCCCUGGCUAAAUACGUGCCAGCAGCCGCGGUAAUACGUAUGGGGCGAGCGUUGUCCGGAAGUAUUGGGCGUAAAGGGUACGUAGGUGGUUUUUUAUGUCAGGUGUCAAAGCGUGGAGCUUAACUCCAUUAAGCACUUGAAACUGAACAACUUGAGUGAAGGAGAGGAAAGUGGAAUUCCUUGUGUUGCGGUGAAAUGAGUUACUAUUAAGAGGAAUAACGGUGGCUAAGGCGUCUUUCUGGACUUUUACUGACGCUCAGGUACGAAAGCGUGGGGAGCAAACAGG
rnacentral:rRNA from 1 species